rnacentral:rRNA from 1 species
AUUGAACGCUGGCGGCAGGCUUAACACAUGCAAGUCGAGCGGGGGGAUGGUGCUUGCACUAUCACUUAGCGGCGGACGGGUGGGUAAUGCUUAGGAAUCGGCCUAUUAGUGGGGGAAAACAUCUGGAAGGGGAUGUUAAUACCGCAUCCGUCCUACGGGAAAAAUCAGGGGAUCACUUGUGACCUUGCGCUAAUAGAUGAGCCUAAGUCGGAUUAGCUAGUUGGUGGGGUAAAGGCCUACCAAGGCGACGAUCUGUAGCGGGUCUGAGAGGAUGAUCCGCCACACUGGGACUGAGACACGGCCCAGACUCCUACGGGAGGCAGCAGUGGGGAAUAUUGGACAAUGGGGGGAACCCUGAUCCAGCCAUGCCGCGUGUGUGAAGAAGGCCUUAUGGUUGUAAAGCACUUUAAGCGAGGAGGAGGCUCUUUUGGUUAAUACCCAAGAUGAGUGGACGUUACUCGCAGAAUAAGCACCGGCUAACUCUGUGCCAGCCGCCGCCGUAA